AAACAGCAAACAAAAUGUAACCACACAAUUAGAUACUCCAUCUUUUUCUUUUAUUUCAAGAACUUACAUAAGAUACCAUAGUAUUAUUCAAAGAAUUCUCCUAUUAAGAAGCUAGGGCUAGACGAGAAUAGUAUGGCAAAUUAAGGGACCUAGGUAAUUGGUGGCGGUAUGGGCCCGCCUUGUGGGGUUUCCCCAGGACACGGCCGGACCUGAUACUAGAAGUAUGGUAAUUAAGUAGGACAACCCUGCAAAAUUAUCAUGUUUAAUAUAUCUUUUUUAUUCUAGACUCAUCCAUGUAGAAUGCCUAGUUUGUAUAAACAGUUUAGGAUAGGAACUGCCUAUUAAUUCAUGGUGUGCACUUACAAACCCUAUCAAUUGUACUUUUUCUUUUCUUUUUUUUUUUCUUUUUUUUAAACGACCCGAAAACGAGCAUCCCACCUAAAAAAAGGACGAAGGGAAUAAAUUCAGACAGACAUAAAGAACAAAGAUGUCUCUGGAAUUCUGCUCUGAUUUAAACUAGCAUCACCAAAUUAGCCUUAUCACUACUUUAUUCCACCAUUGGCUGGCAAGACUAUCUGCCACCUCAUUCAAUAAAUCAAUUCAUUCUUAAACAAGUGAUCAAAUCUGUGGUCAUCUGCUGACAAAUACAAUUCAAUUAAGUCUUCACAACCUUAAAAUGCAAUAUCCCAGUUUCAGAGUCAAGAAUACCGCGCGCAUGCCCUAGAUCUUUUUUUUUUUAUAUAAUUAUUUUAUAAUUAUUAUUUUUUUUAUAACAAUAAAUAUUUUUUCUUCUCUCAAGGUUCAGGUUCAACUAAUUAUGUUGUUUUAAGUGAUCAUAUGUCCAGGGUAACAACGUUGUUAACCUUGAAGAAGAUAAAGCAAAGUAUGUUAU
rnacentral:lncRNA from 1 species